AAGCUGUUGUUGAUCACUUGCGGCCCCUACCAGCCGGUUAGGGGGGGUGGAGUUAGCACUCAAUGUAUUUCAAUGGACAAUCAUGGAAAUUCAUUCAAAAAAAAUACUUGUCGUUGCAAAAUAUUCGACAAUUCAGGCCCUUGGUCAGCAUGCAGAACAAGUAUUAGGCUGAUCGGCGCAGUAGUGUGACCCAGUGAAAGAGCGACGUUUUCACCCUGUGGUAGGGAUUUUCAAAGGAAGUGGGAAUUCGAUAGGGAGGAAGUAGUCCCUUUAUAAAGGUCUGUUUGAUCUGCUCAAUAUGCACUUGGGAGAACAGCAUUGCAUUUUAUGCCAGGGAAGCGGCGCCGUCAAAUUCAAGCACGCUCUUUGAAUCUGGAUUGAACGACCCGCUGUGAGGUGGGAUAAGCGGCGAUUUUUUGGCCUACGUUGCUGAUGGGUUUUAUUUGAAUACUGUGUAUGGAAUAGAAUGUGGGGGUUUUUGUUUUAAUGUUGGCGGGGAUAGUGCGUCGGUUGUAUAGUAAUUGUGCUUUGUUUGUUUCUUUUAGAAUUGGUGUUUGUCACUGUUUCACUAGAUGGUAAUUCAGCCGUAGCUGAUUUACAAGAUUUGUUUGUACCGCUAGCGGUAGCCUGUGACCGCCUUGCUCAUGCAUCUGUACCUAAUUACUGGACUGAUUAAAACCUGUGAAAAUAUAA